UCGCCCGCGGCUCCAAUUCCGAAUCCCCCACCCUCCGUCCACCUCGGUUCGAAACGCCGCCCACCAAACUCGCGAGAGAAAAAAAAGGCCCGCUUCCUUCGUCUCCGCCUCCGUUGGCUGGGCACACCGCCGCCUCCUCCUCCUCUGCCGGCCAGGCGCGGUGUCGGCACCUCCUCUUCCGCGGGGAGGACGCGCCACCGGCGCCGCCUCCUCUGCUGGCGCCUCCCCCAUCCCACCGCCUCCUCUCCACCCUCCUCCAAGCAAUCGCCCCCGCCCCUAUCUCUACACCGCGCGCUGCCGCAGUCGCUGCCGCAGAUCAGGCCACCGCCGAUGCGCCUCCCUGCCUCCCUACGACCGCCGGAGUUCCACGUGCUGACGGGAUGCGCACCGGCAAGCCCCGACGCGCCAAACCCUAGAUCUGCGUGGGCGCGGCGGCGACAGCGGCAACGCGAAACACAGGGCGACGGGCCGACGGCGUGGAGCAAGCGACGAGGCAGGGCAACGGCGCGGAUCUCGAGACACAAGGGCGCAAGGCAGCAGCCAGCGGCGGCGGCGCGAGUCGUAGGGCGCAGGCAUGAUUCCUCGGCCGGGAGGUUGGGAGGCACGGGCUGGCGACGACGGAAGGGCGGCGAGCAGGCGAUGGUGAGGCGCUGCAGGGCAGCGAUGAGGUGACUUCAAGUUCGUCCUCCAGUGCAACGGCACCAACAACUGGGAGUCCUCCAAUUGAUUUUUUUGUAGGAAGGGAGAUCUGUUAUGGAGGAGGCAUUGUGGCAUUGCCUACGAAAAUAGCUGGAUAAUAGAGGUUAUCUCUGAAUACCUGUCAAAGUAUACAUUAAAAAUGCUAUGCAUAAAGAAUUUGCAUUGUUAGAUCAUUGUGUUGGCCGACAAUUCUGUCUGUUUAAGUUUUUAUCUCAUCCUUUUGAAGUAAUUUUGAUUGCACUACUGAACAUGGAUUCACUCACAGGGUUAACAAACUAUUUCCCCAUUUAUCUCUUUCUGUUUUGGUUAACUGCCACAAGUCGCUAGAGUGAGUUAACGUGUAGAGAAGCAGAUCGGAGAGAAAUGGUUUGUCCAACUCCACGUGCAUCUUUCCCUCUUAUUUCCAUUAUUUUCUAUUUAACUCAUUUUAUUUACUAAAUCUCAGCCUGCUAUUGCCGAUCAAUUGAUUCUGCAAUAAUCAUAUUAGCUAAUCACCCAUGAUGAUAGUUUUGUUUUGUUCUGAUGUGGUAUAUCUUUUUGUUUAGUUUUUUUUGGAGCAAUUGGAUUAUAUUAUUUAGAGUGAAUGGCAAGGGACACUGAAAUCUGACAGAACUUGGUGUUGCUUCCUAAUAUCUCCUGGCAUGGACAACAUCAACCCAAAGGACAAGCAGGCUAUAAAACAUACUUUGGAAGAAGCUAGGAGGUGCCACGGGCUGGUGCUAUGGCUUGAUUUUGAUAGAGAGGGUGAGAACAUAGCAUAUGAAGUGAUCGGAGUUUGUACAGGUUCUAUUCUUCAUAAACAUGUGGGAAUCAGACAAAUCAUAUUAAUUUGUUUUCAAAUUAUGAUUCAAGUAUUGAUACAAAGGCCUACAUCCAGAAUCUUGGGAUGAGCCGGAUGAAGUUCGAGUAGCUGGAGCACGAGCUCUAUCAAGCCAUGCACCAACAGGUUCACUACCAAUCGAGGCUUCCAUCAUUCUGCUUGAGAAUUUGAGUACCAUCAUUGUGAAAUCCUGUUACUCCAUAUGUAGUCUGAAUAUAUGUUGCUCAAAUGAAAGCAUAUUGUACCAAAUGGCAAAGUAAACUUUGAGAAAAGGCCAAGAGGAAGGCAUAUAUAUGAUACUAGGUGCAUACCCGUGCGUUGCUACAGGUGCCAAUAUUUUUAGCAUAA